rnacentral:rRNA from 1 species
UACGUAGGGGGCAAGCGUUGUCCGGAUUUAUUGGGCGUAAAGAGCGUGUAGGCGGCCAGGUAGGUCUGCUGUGAAAACUCGAGGCUCAACCUCGAGAUGUCGGCGGAAACCAUCUGGCUAGAGUCCGGAAGAGGAGAAUGGAAUUCCCGGUGUAGCGGUGAAAUGCGCAGAUAUCAGGAAGAACACCCGUGGCUAAGGCGGUUCUCUAGUACGGUACUGACGCUGAGACGCGAAAGCGUGGGGAGCGAACAGG